AGCUGCUCCUGCUGCAGGGAAUUUCUGAGGAUAAGUUGCCCAGAGUUCUGGAAGAGGUGAUUGUCGUGGAGGUACACUUCUGUCAUUUGUUGUAGUUGAUGUAGGUCUGGCUGGCACAGGUCUGUCAACUGCUGUGGUUGAAGUAGGCCUAUUUCGAGAAGCUGUCCUUGGGCAGAUUAAGGGGAGGAUUUUAGAUGAGGUAGCUGGGGCAGGCUGUGGACUUGUUGGCCUAGGG
rnacentral:misc_RNA from 1 species